rnacentral:rRNA from 1 species
UGGGGAAUAUUGGACAAUGGGCGCAAGCCUGAUCCAGCCAUGCCGCGUGAGUGAUGAAGGCCUUAGGGUUGUAAAGCUCUUUCGCCGGUGAAGAUAAUGACGGUAACCGGAGAAGAAGCCCCGGCUAACUUCGUGCCAGCAGCCGCGGUAAUACGAAGGGGGCUAGCGUUGCUCGGAAUCACUGGGCGUAAAGCGCACGUAGGCGGAUCGUUAAGUCAGGGGUGAAAUCCUGGAGCUCAACUCCAGAACUGCCCUUGAUACUGGCGAUCUCGAGUUCGAGAGAGGUUGGUGGAACUCCGAGUGUAGAGGUGAAAUUCGUAGAUAUUCGGAAGAACACCAGUGGCGAAGGCGGCCAACUGGCUCGAUACUGACGCUGAGGUGCGAAAGCGUGGGGAGCAAACAGGAUUAGAUACCCCUGGUAGUCCACGCCGUAAACGAUGGGAUGCUAGCCGUUGGGGGGUUUACCUCUCAGUGGCGCAGCUAACGCCUUAACGCAUCCCGGCCUGGGGAGUACGGUCGCAAGAUUAAAACUUAAAGGAAUUGACGGGGUCAUAGCUGUUUCCU